UCCCUGGUGGUCCAGUGGCUAGGACUCUGUGCUCCCAACACAGGGGGCCCAGGUCUGAUUCCUGGUCAGGGAA